CUUUUGACUUAGAUACUAAGUAUAUUGUCAUUUUCAACUUUCCUUCUUUAUUUAAUGUAUGCAUUUGAAGCUGUAUUUUAAUUAUUUGCAGCAGUGUGCUGGAGCCAACUGUAGCUCAUAUUGGCUUGUGGGAAUCUAUUGUGUGUAUCCUUCCCAACUUCACACUUCAUGUUGGUGGCUUGAAAUAGACUAUGACUUUGGGAGGACGAGGCCAAGAGAUCGAGACCAUCCUGGUCAACAUGGUAAAACCCCGUCUCUACUAAAAAGUACAAAAAAUUAGGUGGGCAUGGUGGCGCGUGCCUGUAAUCCCAGCUACACAGGAGGCUGAGGCAGGAGAAUUGCCUGAACCCAGGAGGCGGAGGUUGCGGUGAGCCGAGAUCCGCCAUUGCACUCCAGCCUGGGUAACAAGAGCGAAACUCCGUCUCAAAAAAAAAAAAAAAAAAAAGAAAGAAAAGAAAAGAAAUAGACUAUGUGGGAUAUUUACACUAUGAAUAUUGACAAAGGCUACAAUUAUAAUAGUGCUUGCCUAUCCCCCUUUCCCUCCAAAUAUGUGGAACCUGUUGGAAUACAUUUACCAAUACAUGAUUGGUUGAUUUCCAAAUCUGGUAUUUAGUGUUGGUGUUAUGCUUUUGUUCUAAAGUCUGAUUUCUUUUUUACUCUUUGGUUGUUUAGAAGUAUUUGUUAAAAUUUCCAAAUACAUUAAAUUUUUUGUUGUUGCUUCUGGCUUUUAAUUUUAUUGUGAUGUAGUCUAUAGAACGUUAAUUCUUUAGCAUUUGUUAGGGCAUAGUUAAUAGCAUACUAUAUGAUCACUUUAUUCAUUUGUAAUUUUUAAUUAAAAAACUUUUUUAGAGACAGGAUCUCACUAUGUUUCCCAGGCUGGAGUGCAGUCUCUAUUCACAGGCAAAAGCGUAGCACACUACAGCUUUUUAACUUCUGGGCUCAAGCAAUCCUCCUGCUUCAGCUUUCCAAGUAGCUAGAAACAGAGGUACAUGACAAUUGCACCUCACAAUUUACUUUUAAACAUUUAUUCAUGCUCGAAAACAUGUAUAUUCUUUAAUUCUCAGGGUUCUAUAUAUGUCUCUUUGUUCAAGCUUGUUAAUUACGUUGUCUCAGUUGUCUAUAUAGUUAUUAAUUUUUGUAUGUAUGACUACUGAUUUCUGCUUAAUCUAUCAAUUAUGGAUCUAUCAAUUCCAUAAGGACUCUUAAAGGCUCCUCUACAUUGCUAUUUAAAUUUCUUUUCCUUUUGUAUCAGUUUUCUAUAGAUUUUGAGGCUAAACUGUUAGUGUGAACAAAAGUUCCCUGAAAAGGAAUUUGGAGGAAAGUGAUUUUAUUGAAGUGAACAGUUUACAAACUGGGGAGACCCAGGCUUCAGUGUAAAACGAAGGUGCAUUCUGGGAAACAAAGGGAGGCUUUGAGUUUUACAGUGAAAGCUCCUGUCCAGGUUCCUAAUAAGGUCUGUUCAUGCAAAUGAAAGAUUCAAACUUGCUUAGUUCUGACUGGUCAACAGAGCUGAGCUCUGAUUGGUUGAUACAGCUAAGCCCUGUUUGUUGAUACAACUAAAUUUGCAUCAACAUUGGUUGGGUCAGGUGAGCUCUGAAAGUACUAAGGUGGAAUAGAGGCGUUGGUUUUGGCAGAACUCAGAGUAGAUGUGUGACCUGUGGUCAGCCAAUGGUCACUCAGCUCUAUUUUAAAUUUAGGCCUGGUUAGCCACACAGGAUCCAUCUUGAAAGAUUGGCUCUUUCAGAUAUAUGUUCACCUUAGGUACAUAUGGGAUUACUACAUCUUUCUGAUAAUUUUUUUCUGUAAUGAAUAUGUAAUGUCCUACUUAUUCUUUUUUCACCUUAUGUUUCUGUACCUUUAAUACCUUUAACCAUCUUAAAUGUGCAUGUUGUAUUCCCUUUCAGGUUAUUUUUCCAUUAUUUUAUAUUCUGAGCUGUACUAUUUAUAUUUGCUAUUUCUGUUGACUUUCAUUUACAAGAGUAAUUUCCUUGUGCAUUUUAUAAUUUGGGAUUAAUUACAAGAGAAACUCUCCUUUUAUUUGGGAAUCUGGGAACCCUGAGUAGUUCAGGAAUCCCUCCAGUGUGUUUUUGCUGUGCUUCGUUUGAAUAUCCCAGAGCCACUAUCAGCCUAAGACCAAAUUUACAUUACCUUUUCAGCUCCAAGAUUUCCCAUGCUAUGAAUGUAGUAGAAAACAAACUCCACAUGCGCAGGCCUGGAAGGCUGAGCUCUCAUGAGAGCCUAUUUACUAGCAUCAUCUUCUAUUUUUCCGGCUAGAAUCAUAACUGAGACAACUUCCUUAUGGUCUCUCUGAACUAUUGGGUCCUCAGUUUCCCCACCUCCUCCAUGUGUUGUGGGAAGCUGCAGACCGGCAGAGGGCGCUCCGGGCAGUCAGCAAACGAUCCGGGGCAGAUCCACCCAGAGCCAGUGGAGUGGCCUCCUGGAAAUGUCCACAGCUUCAUGAAGAUCCGCUACGUAGUGGGGGUCUCAGGCACAGACCUCACUGGAGCCUGGGGAGAGGCAUGAACACAACAACCUCCGAAUUGUUCUCUGUGUCUCCAGUCUUGCUCUUCGUAAACUCAUUCUUCAAAUCAUAGCCGCCAUGAUCUUUCCGCACCGCAGCGCCUUCCUGCCCUCCCUGGGCAGUUUAGUAGUCCCAGUUUUUAGUGAGUUUGCAUCUCACCCAGUGGCAAAUUCCUAGGUAACCGGAUCGGAUAACUCCUCCUAACGGCUGAGCAUCCCCUGAUGUAACUUUCUCAGUGGCCCUCAGCUGUCUCCUAGCUUCUGCCAUGGGUACAGCCAUAGCUGUUCUUUAUUUGAGCACAGUCACAGAUUUUUAAAAGCUGUAGUAUCUUAUUCUGCAUUUCUAAAUGUUAUUAGGGGGUGCCUCUGCUUGGUAGCCUACUCUGCUGUCUUGCAAAACUAGAAGUCCUGCCUCCUUUAGCUGAUGUGAAUUGUGUUAGUAUUGCCCUUGUUCUUACUCAAGGUCUUUCUGUGACUAUUCAGGUCCUGGGUAGCCAUUCAAAAAGAGUUAAGCGACCACAGGUCCCACCCAGCACGUAUAUAUCUUUGCCCUCUUACCCCUUUCUCCAUGAGUUUUGAAGAAUGGGUGUGGCAGAUUAGACUGGAUGAAACCAGGGUACUCCUCUUUUACAAGAUUGAAAAUUAUGUUAGAGGGAAUUCAUUGCUGUGAAUGGGUUUACUCUCUCUUUAAGGUCACUGGGUUCUCACCAUGUAAGAAAAUAUUUGAUCACAAAACUCUGGGAUGAUUUUUCCACGUAAAUCAUGUGUCCAUUCCAAGUGUAUUUCAUAGCCAUUAGUUUGUUAAGCCUUCCUUAUUAAAAAUAACCGGAGUUUAAUAUAGGUUGAAUGACUUCAGUGAAAUGACACUCUAGUUCUUUUUCCAGAGAUUUUCAAACUUCAUUAAGUUUCUCUGAACAUGCUAAAUUCUUUUAUAAGUUCCUUUGUUCUCCAUUUUUUCACCCGAACUUACUGCUACCUUGCUUUAAAAUUUUUAUUUUCUACAAAAAAGGGUAAGCGAGGAGUGGAGAAAGUCAUUUUAGGUUAUUUAAAAAAAAAAAAACUUCAAAAACAUUACUCUUUUAUUCAAUUUCUAGUUAUUGAAGAAAAUAAAAUUAUAUCCUUUUUAAUGGGUACUUACUUCAACCAAAACCCUUUUUCCCAAAGGCGUUUCUAUUAAUCAGUUCUGAUGGUCUGAGGAAGCCUGUCAAGGGCAGGGGCCUCUUAUUCUCUUACUGUUUGUCCUCGAGGACACCCAUCACCCCCACCUUCUUCUUGGUGACUGGUUCCCUUGGGUAACCAAAAAUAUUUUGCUCAUUUCUGUUUCCAUGACCUCUAUUUGCCUAGUAACCCCUCCACUGCUUCACUGCCCUUCUUCUGAGUCAAGACAUUCAUUCACUGUUUUAUGGUAUGUUGGUACAUGAGAAAACAGACAUGCUGUGGAAUGGUCUAAAGCUCUUCCUGGAUGUACCACACCCCACACUCCAUCCAAAAAAUAAGGCUUAUAUCUUUUUCUAGUAAACGAUUCUAUGAAUUAGGCCGGGUUCAGUGGCUCACCUCCUAGCACUUUGGGAGGCUGAGGCAGGCAGAAAGAACACCAGGUAAGGAGAUCGAGACCAUUCUGGCCAACAUGGUGAAACCCUGUCUCUGCUAAAACACAAAAAAUUAGCUGGGCAUGGUGGUCCACGCCUGUAGUCUCAGCUACUUGGGAGGCUGAGGCAGGAGAAUCGCUUGAACCUGGGAGGCAGAGGUUGCAGUGAGCUGAGAUCGCACCACUGCACUCCAGUCUGGUGACAGAGCGACCCCGUCACACACACACACACAAAGAUUCUAUCAAUUAUUUUAGAUCUUUUCCUCUCUCCCUAGGACUUUGUCUCAAGAGAAAAGCUCGUAUCCUUUUCCCAGAAGUCCACCAGUUUAUUCCCUCCUGAAGAACAAGAAGCCUUCCACCCUUUCUACCUGUUAGGAAUCUUCAGAUAAGAAAACAGUGACCAGAAUGAGAAGCAUUGUUGCCCAGGCUGGAGUCAGUGGUGUGAAUUCCCAGGCUCAAGUGAUCAUUCCACCUCAGCCUCCCCAGUACUCCCAAGUAGCUGAGACUACAGGUACAUGCAUGCACCACACCCAGCUACGAAAAGCAUUUUUGGGUGCCUGUUAAUCACUAGCCAGUGCCGUACAUUACUUUUAAGCUUCAGAGUUACAGUUACCAUCCUCAUUUGACAGAGGGGGAAACUUAAGCUUGGAAAAAAUUAAGUAAUUUACUAUUAGUUCCAUAGAGGAUAGAGCUGAGAUCAGAGUCAAAGCCUGUCUGGUUCAGGUCUCAUGUUCUAAAUCUGUCUUAAAUGCUGCUUAUUCUUACUUUUCAUUCUUACUCCUAAAUCUUAUUUCUUUUAAACUAGACAUUUCUAGUCUGUUUCUGAGCUUCUACCAGCCCCUGUAACAUUUUUAUCUUAGCACGUGACACCAUGUAUUGAAAUUGUUGAACAAUGUUUUUUUGUGUUUUGUUUGUUUGAGAUGAAGUCUUGCUUUGGGGUGCAUGCAGUGGUGUGAUCUCAGUUCAUUGCAACCUCUGCCUCCCAGGUUCAAGUGAUUCUCCUGCCCCAGCCUCCUGAAUAGCUGGGACUACAGGCAUGUGCCACCACGCCCAGCUAAUUUUUGUAUUUUUAGUAGAGACGGCAUUUCACCAUGUUGGCCAGGAUGGUCUCGAUCUCUUGACCUCAUGAUUCACCUGCCUCGGCCUCCCAAAGUGCUGGGACUACAGGUGUGAGCCACCAUGCCUGGCCAACAAUGUUUUAAUCAGAUCCAACCUCUGUACUGUCAGAACCUAGCACAGUGCCUGAUAUACACUAGAAAUGUUUAUUGAACUUAUACAAUAUAUUUUUUCUGUUGCUAUAUAUUUACCCUUUUAUCACCACUGGUGGCCUCCCUAGAUCCCACAGCUGGAAAAGCUGAGAAGCACAUGAACCUGAUGAGGAAUGGUAGUAUCAAGUUGGGAAUUAGGGGGAGUUAGAAAAUGUCCAGGCUCAAAUCUGCUAUUGAGGGAAGCAGCGUUUGAUUCUGGUCUGAUUCAUUAGUACUCACUUGGAUUCCCAAGAGUGGGGAACUACUUUGCUUCUUAAGGCAUUUUGUCUUCGUAAACACUACCAUAGAACAUCUAUUCACAAAUGAAUAGACAGUAGAAUGAAUAAGAAAGGCUUCACUCAAACUUUGUUUAACCAAGUGCUAUUCAUUUGGAAACUAUUGUUUUUUCCUAAUCAUGUAAAGUGAACUUAAUGUGUUAUAGAAUCCAGACAAAGUAGAAAAUCAAAAUUAUUUUUAUCAAAAUCCUAAUUUUUAUUUCAAUUUCAAUUUUAUUUUCUUAAGGCAAGGUCUUGCUUGCUCCGUCACCCACGCUGGACUGCAGCAGUGCAAUCACUGCUCCCUGAAGCCUCGGCCUUCUGGAUCCCAUUGAUCCUCCCACCUCAGCCUCUUGAGUAGCUGGGACUACGAGCAUGCUGCCAUGCCCUGCUAAUUUUUAACAUCGCUGGUUUUUUUUUUUUUUUUUGUAGAGAUAAGGUUUCACUAUACUGCCCAGGCUGGUCUAAAACUCCUGGGCUCAAGUGAUUCUCCUACCUCGGCCUUCUAAAGUGCUGAGAUUCUAGGUGUGAGCCACCAUGCCAGCCUCAAGUUUAAUUUUUUAUCAAAUCAAUAUGAGUAUAUGUUUAUUGACAGUUUUAGUACCACUUAAAAUGAAAACUGCCGUUUUUCAUCUCUAAGUUCCAUUACUCAUAUUUAACCCUUUAAUUACUGUAUUUCUUCUGGUGUAUAUCUCUAAAUAGUAUCUUUUUAGUGUUAUUUCUUCACUUUUAUUUUAGAUGUUAUCUAUUGCCUCUCUCUCUCUCUCUCUCUCUCUCUCUCUCUCUCUCUGUGUGUGUGUGUGUGUGUGUGUGUGUGUGUGUGUGUGUGUUUUCCAUAGACAGAGUUUGGCUCUGUUGCCCAUGCUGGAGUACAGUAGCACAAUCAUGGCUCACUGCAGCCUCAACCUACUGGGCUCAAGUGAUCCUCUCUCCUCAGCCUCUUGAGUAGUUGAGACUACAGGCACAUGCCACCAUAGGAGGCUAAUGUUUUACUUUUUGUAAAGACAGGGUUUUGCCAUGUUGUCUAGGCUGGUUUUGAACUCCUGGACUCAAGCGAUCUUCUCACCUCAGCCUCUCCUGUUGGCUUUUUCCUAUGGGAAAAGGGAAUUCAGCUUUCUUAAAUCACCCUGACACACUUCCCCCUCUGUUUUCUCAUAUAAUAGUUGUAUCAAAAACCUUUCGGUUGGUAUCAGUGUUCAAUGUUUGCACUAUUGAGAGCUUGCAAAUGUUAUUCACAACUGAAUUAUGUUGUGCACUAAAGCAAUUGUUCUCUUAUCUUAGAUUUUUUGUUUUCUUUAGGGUUAAUAGCCAUUUUGUGUUGUUUGCUUAGUUUUUUUUACACCUAUCAAUAAUUUAGCCCCAAACUUUCUAAUCGAAUAGUACAGCUUUAUUUCAUUUGACAGGCACAGUAGUUAAUUCCUACUUUACCACCUUGGUCCUGGAAGCCCAGUUCAUUUUCAGUACAUAAAUCUGAGUUUGUGUUUUGUUUUUAUGAAAUUGGGAUCCUACUGUACACACUUACACUGUAUUGUAAGUGGAUUUUUCACCAAGCAAUGCAUCACGAACAUCUUUCAUGCCUAAAACAACCUAUUUAACGGAUGCAUAGUAUUCUAUUGCCUGAACGUACCGUAAUCCAUUAAACUAAUUGCCCGUUGUGACACAUUUACACAGUGUUCAAUUUUUCACUUUUAUAAACAACCCUGAGUCUCAGACUCCUGAAGCCCAAUUUUGCCUAAUUAUUUUCUAAGAUAAAUUCUAAGAUUGAAUUGCUAGGCCAAAUGAUAUGUAGAUUAUUCAGGAUUUGACACAGACUUUCCUCCAGCAAUAGUGUUGAGUUUGAGAAAUAGUGCCAAUUCUGGGCUUUGUCAUCUUAAAACAUUUCAUCAGUCUUAAUGCUAAUUAUUUUAAUUACCAUUUAUUUAAUAACUCAUGAGAUUGUGUAUGUUCUUAUAUGCUGAUUUGAUAUUUUGGCUCUAAAUUUUGUGAAUUGCCUAUUUGCAUCCCUCAUUCAUUUUAUUCCCUGCUGCUCCUUUAUAAAACCUCUCCACUUGAGUUUGUAAUCAUUGCCUUGCCAGACCUAUUUUUUUGUAUUCUAGCUCUUUUGUCUCUUUUCCCAUGCUGUUUUCAUAAUUUCUUUAACCAUUCACCUGUCCAUGCAUCUAUCUAAUAUUUAUUGAGCACCUAUUACAGUCUUCAAGGAGUUGUGAACACCAUAGGCAAGACAAUGUUAUCACUCUUAUGGAACUUACAUUUUAGAAAAAGGAGACAUCAUAAGUAAGCAAAAACAGAAAUAUCAGAUUGUAAGUGUUACAGAGAGGUUUAAUACUAGGUAUCAUGCUAGGGAAUGAUAAGGCAAGUCCUUUAGAUCGAGCAGUUAGGGAAGGUGCCUCUGAGCAGGUGACACUCCAGGACACUUUAGGUCUUAGUGACACACGGAAGCCAGCUAUCUAGUACAACAUUCCAGGAGGAAGGAAGAGUAUGCAUAAAGCUCCAUUUCCUGCCAAUCUGAAAUACAGAUUUUUAAAGGUUAAGUCCCAGUCCUAUGAAGCUUUUUUGAACCCUUUCGGCCCAUAGUGAUAGAGGCAAGAGACGGAGAAAUCUCCUAGGCAGAGAGGGGAGGAUCCCCAAAAAUCUCGAACUUGCCAAGGUCAUUGUGCACAGGGGGCUUGCUAAACAUGCCAUAAAAGCCUCUGUCCUUUCACACAUGUGCACUAAGGGAAAUAAAUCAAUGUGGAGUGGCUCAGAGUAAGGGCUCGCAUAGGCCCUGGAAGGGUGGGGUGGAGCUGCCAGGAAUUCUCGACUUGUACAAAUAGGGAACCCGGCCCUAUUAGCAGAUAUGGAAGCCCUUAUAUUCAACUGUGAGGGGGGAAAACUGGCAACCUGCUUUCAAGACCCCUCUUUUUGCUGAGAGCUUUCCUUUUCGCGUAAUAGAUUCUCCACUUAUUCUUCGAUGUUGUCAUGCUUUAUUUUUCCUGGUUGUGAGACAAGAACCUGGAUCUAGCUGAGCUAAGGAGUAAAAAAUCCUGCAUCGGCAGCAAGCACUGUUUUAAUAUCAUAUAAUUCUCAUUGUCUGAACUACUUAUUUGUCCUUUUUAAUUUAUAGACUCAUAUAAUAAUUCAUCUUAGGUUUAUUAUACAGGUUCAGCAUCUUGAAUCCAAAAACCAAAACGUUCCAAAAUCUGAAACUUUUUGAGUGCCAACAUGACAUCAUGAGAAGAAAAUUCCACGCCUGACACCUUUGCUUUCUAGAGGUUCAAUGUAGACAAACUUUAUUUCAUGCAAAAAAUUAUUUAAAAUGUCAUAUGAAAUUACCUUCAGGCUAUGUGUAUAAGGUGUAUAUAAAACAUAAAUGAAUCUUGUGUUUAGACUUGGGCCCAACCCCAAGAUAUUUCAUUAUGUGUAUGUAAAUAUUCCCACAGCCAAAAAAAUCUGAAAUUUAAGACACUUCUGGUCCCAAGCAUUUUGGAUAAAACAUACUCAACCUGUAUUUUCUGUCUCAGAUAACUCUAAGUUUUUUUUUUUUGUUUGUUUUUUGUUUUGAGAGGGAGUCUCGUUCUGUCGCCAGGCUGGAGUGCAGUGGUGCAAUCUCGGCUCACUGCAACCUCCAUCUCCCAGGUUCAAGUGAUUCUCCUGGCUCAACUUCCUGAGUAGCUGGGACUACAGGCACACACCAUCACACCCAGCUAAUUUUUGCGUUUUUAGUAUAGAUGGGGUUUCACCAUGUGGGUCAGGAUGGUCUCAAUCACCUCACCUUGUGAUCUGCCUGCCUCAGCUUCCCAAAGUGCUGGAAUUGCAGGUGUGAGCCACCGCAGCCGGCCUAAGUUCAAGAGUUUCAUAAGGUGAAGGGACUAUAUCUUGUAUUUGUUAGUGAAGAUAAACUUACCUGAUGUACACUAGAUGCUCAUACUUAUAUUUUCUAGUAAUAUAUAAAAUUAUGAUCUUGGUUGCUUCCUGUAGAUUUGUCUAAUUCAGUCUUUGAAUGCCUGGGAAGGAGCUAUGGCAUAUGAGGUCUUUGGUUCAAAUAGGCUAGAAAAAAGAAAAGUCAUUUACUGCAGAAUAUAAAAUUAAAUUAAAAAGCUAAGGCAUUCACUCUUUUCUUGAUGUUAUUGCAAAUAACAGUUCACAGCUGAACUAUAUAAAGUUUCUUAAUGAAACCUUUACAAGAAAGUGAAUCAAUAGAAGAAAAAGUCUAGGCCAGAAGAAUAAUUUCAAUAACUAGUGUUUGAAAACGAGUAGGUCACUAUUUCUGUGCAAGUGUGUGUGUGUGUGUGUGUACGUGUGUGUGUGUAUGGGUGUGCAUGGAGUGUUUAAAUAGUGUCCUCUAUGUGCUUUGGCAUAUGCUGGGGAGUGUCAAUGGAAGAGAAAUUGUUGUAUGAAAAAAAUAUGGUUAUCACCUUCAAAAACCAUGCACUUUAUUGAAGAAAGAUAAAUGACAAGUACCUAAACUCAGAAAAUUGCUAGGAACCUCUAGAAACUUCAAUAACAUCUGCAAUAAUGUAAUCAAUCAAUCUUAUACUUAAGGGCCCAAGAGUGCUAAGUAUACAGCCAGGAAUAAGGAAACAGAUGGCUUCCCAUACUGGCAGUGGCAGAAGACUAAUUGUUGGCAGAGAUUGGUGUGUGUGAGGUGUGUGUGUGUGUGUGUGUGUGUGUGUUCUGAUGCAUGUCAGACACACUGGAGCUGGAAUUCUGACCAGUUUCCUCUCACUCACCUUUUAAUGAUCUCAUCCACUGUUAUUUGUAUCUCAGUGAGUGAUUUUCUGGUUCUUAUAACUUCAGGUUUAAUAACCCAGAAACCAGUUAGGAGAUAAAGUUUCAGAAAAAAAGGAGACACCAAACCCAAAAUGUUUUCAAGCACACAGAAAUGCAAAAACAUCGAGUGCUCCCAAUAAGAGAAGAUACUUCGUGUCAUUGAGCUCUGGAAACAUUUAAGAAGUGUUUGGAUUACGUGACUCAUGAAGAGAUAAGGAUUGGUAAAAGCUAAGCUAGGUCAAUACAAAGACUCGAUAAAUAAAAAGGGAAAGAAUGGUAGCACCGCAGAAGGAGAACAAGAACAUCUUUGGAACAGGUAAACAAUUGAUGUGGAAUCAUGAUCAAGAUGUUCCUGUUUGAGGUGGAAGCUCAGCUCCAGAAAUUAAUGAUAGUGUGACCUUGAGCAACUUAUUGAACCGCUAGGUGCUUUUGUUUGUUUGUUUGCAUUAUUUGUGGAAUGGAGACUUACUUAACAGAUAGUUUUUGGGCACCUAUAAUGUACCAUACUCAGUCUCAGGUACUCAGACAUUGUCUUAGGCACUAGCUAGCAGUCACUUUCAUUAACCCAUAAAUGUAAAGAGCUGAGAGCACUACUAUCAUUAUGAGAUGCAGAAAUGAAUUUUAGAUAGGGAAGAGGAUGGAAAGUAUGGCAGACAGAAGUGAACAGGCUGCUGUCAGUGUCAAGGGAACAAGAAAGCAAACAGGGAAUGCCAUAAUACAAUUUACAAUGGAAUCAGAAACAGCAAAGAAAACACUACUUAGUACAUAGAUGUUAAACCAAAGCCCAUGUGGAAACAUACUUGGCUUUCCUUUCUCCAAUCGGCUCUCAUUUGGGUCUAUCAGUAUAUCUACCGUGCUGCUAUGUGACUGUCUCAAACAUCCCGCAAGAGUUACGGCCAUCCUCAAAAAUUUAACUUCCAAUGACUUCAACUCAAACUACACAUGUCUAAUUUGGGCAUUCAAGAUACUUAUAAAAAUACUUUUAACUAUCUUUUCUCCCUUAUUUUUCACCUGACUCCUACAUUUGGGGUCGAAAUCACAGAAAGCUUUUGAAUGGCCUGACAGUCUUUUAAAGAUUAUUUGGCUGUAGUAUAAUCUAUUAUCUACUACUUUCUGCUUUAUGCAGUUUCAAUACCACAGACAUUUGAGUUUAUGAACAUUUUCCUUUAUAAACAAGCUAAUAACCCAUUCUGAUUAAACUUGCUUUACUUUUUUUUUUUCCUUUUUACCUUUAGAGGUAGCAGAGUACCUUGUACUCAUUACAUGCUUAAUAAAUAUUAAUUUGCUCUCUCUUUUUCCUUAUCUGUACUUAUGUUUCUUGCUGUUUUUGGAAUGAUCUCCAGUUGUUCUUUGUUUGCCCAAAUAAUAACCAUCCUUCCAGGACCAAAUCAAAAGUGAACUUCUUCGAAGCCUUCCUGUCACUCUCGUCACAGGUGAGAUGGAUCUAUUCCCCUUCAAAGUAUGACUUAAUCCAGAAAAUGUAUACACUGUAUUUCUCAAAUGUUAUAGAACUCUACCUGUUUUAUGGAAGUUUCUCUUUGUAUCAAUUUUUUAGAUAAACAAACAAAGACUAAUGAAUUAAAUCUGCCACAGAAUAAUCCAUCAAAUGGCUAGAAAGGUGAACGAUCAAAAUUCCGCAGUUGAUGGAGUUACAGAUGAUUUUAAAUCCUCUUCCUUUUGUUUUUCUUUUUUCUAAUUUUCUACAAUAAGUAGGUAUUACUUUAGUAACCCAAAAGUAAAAAACUAUGAUGUAACCUAACACACAUAAUGUACACAAGGUACAUUUGUGUAAGUGUGGCUAUUUGUGGCUGCAAAUGCAGUCUUUGAAGACAAUGACUGUGUUCUAUUAAUUUCUGUAUCCACAGUAUUCACUUAGCACCUGAUGCAUACUAGCUACUCAAGAGACUAAAAAGGGAUUUUCUGAAUCAGUGGAAGAAUGGGCGAAGUCUUCAGCAGAAAUGGGCCAUUUGAGGUCUGUUAAAGUCUGAGUGGUUAAGGAGAGAGCUUAUUUGGGUCCUUCAAGGCUUUUCUCCAGGCUUUCUGCCCCUUGCCUGUACACAGAAAUCCAAAGACUGUGGGACUAGGCCUGCUGUUCUGCUGGUGUUCUCACAUCUCUGCUUCUGAGCACGCUGCUGGAAAGGCUAUCCUGAGACACUGGUGGACUGGAUCUCUGACCGGGGAAAAAACUGCUCAGAGACAAAAGCUGUAAGAGGCAUGUUCUGGCAUGAAUGAUACUGGCUCUUCUGGCCCCCAGAUUGCAGAUCCCCAGAGAAGACUAUGGGUAAAAGAUGACUUCAGGAGUAGAACUUCAACUUAGGAAGAGCUCACCCAACCCAGAGAUUUUUUACGUAUCAUUUGGUUGAUUUUAGUUCAUGAGAGCCUAGGAGAUGUUGGAAUAAUUACUAACAAUCCUGGCCAGGGAAAUUAGGAAGCCCAUCCCCUAAUUAAAAUUCAGUGUAGAGGAAUUGACCACCAUGAAUGAUUGAAUUCAAUUCCUUGAGAAGAAGACAGAGAAUUUCAAACUAUUUCCUACAACAAGUGAGAGCACACAGUUGUACCAAGUGAGGGGGUUUCCCCAGGCAAUAUUGGUGGUGGGUUAGGAUGUAUGGGGCCAGAGGCUGUUUUAUUCUCAUUUGGGUGAGAGAAAUGGAUAGGGGAUGAUAAUGAUGCAUGAGUCUUCUUUCAAAGUAAUCACUGAGGGAGACUCUCCAUUUUCGUUUUCUUCACCAAAGUGCCUCAAAACGCUUAAAGAAUUCCACUUGGGAAUUAUUUCGGAACUAGUUUAUAUUUCCUAUCUCAUCACUCUACAAUUGCACCUCAUUUUUAACCAAAAUAUCAUUUCCUGCUUCAUCAACCACCUUAUUCAUCAGAUAUGGCUCUGGAUGAUUUUUGGUUGUUUCCAAAAAUGAAAUUCAUCCUCAAAGCUUAAAGAUUUAUGCUACUGAAGCUCGUGAAGAAAUGUGCCAUCAACUCUGAAGAACUGAAGAGGAGUCCCAGAUAUAUUUUGGCUAGAGGGCAGUGGCUCGAUCUCAGUGCACUGCAACCUCCACCUCCUCAAGUAGCUGGAACUAUAGGCAUGUGCCACCAUGCCUGGCUCAAGUGAUUCCCCUGCCUCAGCCUCCUGAGUAGCUAGCAUACAGAUCUUCUGAAAAAGUUUUGGAGUCCCCCAGGGGUGCUGAGAGCACACUCUGAGAACCAUUGGUGGAGGAAGGUGCAGUGGAGUCAAGAGCACUGGGAAUUACAAACUAAGUUGCAUAUGUACAUGUCUAAAGAGGAUGGCAGAAGGAAGAUUAAACAAAAAGAUGAGUAAUAAAGAGUUAUGCUGUUGAUGAAGAAGACACACACAUUGAGUACAUGUUAGCAAUUAUUUCUGGGAGAUCCAUCAGGCAAAUGAAAUCUCCUAAUCCAAUUCAGGAAGGAAUUUCCUGGACAUGUGGAUCCAUAAUCCUGUUUAACUCCUCCACGAAGAGAGACUAAAUUAGAGAUCAACUCCAGUAAAAGCAAACUUAGAGGUAACAAUUGCGAACAGAGCCUGGGCAUCCCCCCCAGGGUCCCAGGCUAUCAUCUAAUAAAAGCCACACCAGUCCAGAAGCCACAUGGAAAUCACUUUACCCAGAAGCUUCUAGAAGGUCCACGUGUUCAUAACCAAGACCCUGGUAACAGAUCUAUUGCUCUUGGUUAUCUUAGGUGGUAGCGGUCUAUUUGUGAAGCAUCCCUUUCUAGAGAAUUUAGAUUCUGUCAUGGUCUAUUUUGCACUGGGGAAUGCAGUGGUGCUGUGUUGUUUUUCUCUUCGGCUGGUGAGGAGAAGAGGUGGGAAACUCUAGGCUCACCAAUGUCCUAUUUGUCUUUCUGUUUGUUGUUGCAACUGGUCUCAUUAAAUCGGGCAAGAGCUGCCAACAUAUACAACUCUGGCUUUCCUAAUUAAAGUUCUACUGAAAAAAGCUGCCUCUCUCUUCUAACUCCCUCACAGGAAUGCACUCUCAUAACAGAGGCAUCUGCCCCCUGGACUAACCUUUCUUAAAACCAGAUAAACAAAGUAAUACCAAUAAAAAUAUCCAUCUGUGCUUAAAGAUAAAUAGAGCAUUAAUAUACCAAACUGAGAUCUGGAUUCUUUUGAACCAGCUUUAAUGAUAUUAGACAUCUGUUCCGGCUUGCUUUCCACUCGUUUUCCACGUGCACAUUCCUAUAGGAAAACCAUGUGACAGCAGCUUUUCUGUGGGAAGUGGGGGUGCCACCUGACCCCUGCUCUUUUUCAGGGGACUGCCCCAGGAGAGGGUGGGAGAUACCAACGUAUAAGCCAAUGAUGUUCCUCCUUAACAUGUGGCACUCUAUUUGGGCUUCAUCAUGGAUUUUAAGCACUGUGAUUUUUAAAAAUUUUUAUGUUUGAGAUACCAGAAUGCCAACUUAUCCCUUUACAACAGUAAGUGGAAUUUUCAAGUAGACCAGAUGCACAAAUGUUGGCACAAUCGCGGCAGUCUUUCCCUUCCUGGAGUUAAGUCGUAUGAGUAUCCAAGAAAUAUCCAGAAGCCAUUCAUUUACCAGGAGAGAGCAUCUUCUCCAGCUGGAAAGAUGGGAGGCCCCAGUGAUGAUUGUUUCUUUUAAAGAGAAUUGUACUUGGAUGGCAAAAAAAAAAAAAAAAAAAAACCCAAAAAACAAAAAAACAAAAACACCCUCUAAGUGUUUCUUUUACUAUUUUGAACACUCAAUAAAAAUUUCAGACAAUGUACUAUUGUGGAAAAACUUUCUCCACUUAAAUACAGACCUGUUGACCUGGAUUUGUUAGAUUUGGUGCUAACUCUAAAGUGGCAAUGGGCAGAUCAGUGGCAUAGGGGCCAAGUCGAAAAUGUGUGGGGGUGUUCAAAAUUAUUCCAAUCAUGGGGUAGAUGCCACUGCUUUUUGAUGUCUGAAGACCAGCAAUGCAGAGGCACAGCAAUUCGAGUGGCAGUCUUACUCAAAUUGUCUGUUUCAAAUGCUGAUAUAACAUGGUAUUGAGAAGCACUUACUUUUUCAAGUAAUGGACCUUUUUUUUGAAACAAAAAUCUUACAGAGGACCCCAGUAUGUAAAACUCAUUAAAGGAGAGCUAUUUUGCCUGACGGGGAGGAGAUCCCUGAAAUACUUCUAGGGAACAUAGUUUGAGAACCACGAUUUUAGCUGAUACCAAAUGGCCAUACUGCUUUAAUAUUCUGAUCCUACAACGUUAUAAGGACUAAGUAGUUUAAUUUGUCUUAAACUAUAACUUCUAUAAUUAUAUUCAUCUCAACAUUUUAUGGGGAAAGUUUUAAACACACAGAAAAGUUGAAAGAAUUGUUAACAACUAGAUACACACCUGCUAGAUACGUACCCACUAGAUUCUACAAUUGCCACUGUUUUUCUCAUCACACAUCUCUCCUCAUGUGCCAAUUCACCAUAUUUUUAGAUGCAUUUCCAAGUAAGUUGCAGGCAUCAGUACAUUUCACCCCUAAUACUUCAG